GCAAGGUUGAAACUCAAAGGAAUUGACGGAGAUCAGCACAUGCGGUGGAACAUGUGAUUUAAUGCGUAAAUACGCGCAAACCUUACCUAGUCUUGUUUCUAUGGAUAAUUUUAUUUAUUAAUAGCGAUCAGGUGUUGCAUGGUUGUCGUAAGUCCGUGCUGAAAAGUGUCUGGUUAAUUCCCUCAACGGACGCAACCCCUUGCUUUAAUUAUUUAUAUUUAAUUUAUUAAAUUUAAUUUUUAAAGUUAACUGCUUAUUGAAUGUCUGAGGAAGGUGGGGAAUAAGUCAAAUCUUUAUGGCCUUUAUGGCUAGGGCUAUCCACGUGUUACAUAGGCUAUUACAAUGAGAAGCAAAAAGUAGAUUUUUAGCAAAUCUUUAAAACUGAGCCUUGUUCGAAUUGUUUUC
rnacentral:rRNA from 1 species